AGAGUUUGAUCCUGGCUCAGAGUGAACGCUGGCGGCGUGCCUAACACAUGCAAGUCGAACGAGAACGGGAUAUAGCUUGCUAUAUUUGUCAGCUAAGUGGCGCACGGGUGAGUAAUGUAUAGAUAACCUGCCCUCAAGAAAGGAAUAACAGUUGGAAACGACUGCUAAUGCCCUAUAUGCCCAUAAUACAUAAGUAUGCUGGGGAAACGCUUUUGUGCUUGAGGAUGGGUCUGUAUUGUAUCAGUUAGUUGGUGAGGUAAUGGCUCACCAAGACUAUGACGCAUAACUGGUUUGAGAGGAUGAUCAGUCACACUGGAACUGAGACACGGUCCAGACUCCUACGGGAGGCAGCAGUGGGGAAUAUUGCACAAUGGACGAAAGUCUGAUGCAGCAACGCCGCGUGGAGGAUGACACAUUUCGGUGCGUAAACUCCUUUUAUAUAGGAAGAUAAUGACGGUACUAUAUGAAUAAGCGCCGGCUAACUCCGUGCCAGCAGCCGCGGUAAUACGGAGGGCGCAAGCGUUACUCGGAAUCACUGGGCGUAAAGAGCGUGUAGGCGGAUAGAUAAGUCAGGAGUGAAAUCCUAUGGCUCAACCAUAGAACUGCUCUUGAAACUGUCUAUCUAGAAUAUGGGAGAGGUAGAUGGAAUUUCUGGUGUAGGGGUAAAAUCCGUAGAGAUCAGAAGGAAUACCGAUUGCGAAGGCGAUCUACUGGAACAUUAUUGACGCUGAGACGCGAAAGCGUGGGGAGCAAACAGGACUAGAUACCCUGGUAGUCCACGCCCUAAACGAUGUACACUAGUUGUUGUGAGGCUCGACCUUGCAGUAAUGCAGUUAACACAUUAAGUGUACCGCCUGGGGAGUACGGUCGCAAGAUUAAAACUCAAAGGAAUUGACGG
rnacentral:rRNA from 1 species